AUGCUCGUCACGUCCUGCCGGCCGCUGCCCCAGGCUUUGCCUUCAACGCCAUUCAAGUCGAGCCUCUCCAUCCCGGACUGGCUUCAAAACCGGUGCUUCCACUGUCUCAAGCCGCGUCACCAAGCGAAGCACUACCGUAGCCCAGUCACUUGCCGCCGCUGCUACCUCCCGGGCCACCGUGCGAAGGAGUGCAAGAACAGGGUUGCGCCCCAUCGCCGCCCUGGGAUCCUCGCCAGCUCUGCCCGUACCCUGCAGCAACCAACGGCUCGUGUUCGCGUGCCAUCGCCUGUGCGCCCGACGCCUCCGGUGCCCCCUCGAGCUCAGGCACCGCGGACUCCUGUCCCUCCUGUCGCUGCCCGCGACAUGGCCUGGCGCGGCGACCACGCGUUGCGCCCUACGGAGGUGCGCACCAUCAUCUCGGCGUCGCCGCAGAUGCUCCAGGAGGCCCUAGUCCUUGGGACCAAUGCGGCGGUGGCUUGGUUCGACCAGGACAUCCGCGUCACCAAGAAAGACAUCCCCGUCGCCAUCUGCAAGCUCACCGGCGCCCUGCCGCUCGAUGUCACCAUCACGGAUCACCACCCCGAGGCCUACCUCAUCAGGUUCAUCCAUCACCACCAUUGCUCGAUCGUCGUGGGGCAGCGGGAGGUGUUGUUCGGGGAGGCGCAUCUCUAG
rnacentral:rRNA from 1 species